UACGUAGGGGGCUAGCGUUGUCCGGAAUCAUUGGGCGUAAAGAGCGCGUAGGCGGCUAGAUAAGUCCGGUGUGAAAGUCACAGGCUCAACCUGUGAAUGCCGCUGGAAACUGCCUGGCUAGAGUCCGGAAGGGGCGAGUGGAAUUCCUGGUGUAGCGGUGAAAUGCGCAGAUAUCAGGAGGAACACCAAUGGCGAAGGCAGCUCGCUGGGACGGUACUGACGCUGAGGCGCGAAAGCGUGGGGAGCGAACAGG
rnacentral:rRNA from 1 species